rnacentral:rRNA from 1 species
UACAGAGGGGGCAAGCGUUAUUCGGAAUUAUUGGGCGUAAAGGGCGCGUAGGCGGCUUCGCAAGUGGAAGGUGAAAUCCCUCGGCUUAACCGAGGAACUGCCCUCCAACUGCGUUGCUUGAGGCCGGGAGAGGUGAGUGGAAUUCCCAGUGUAGCGGUGAAAUGCGUAGAUAUUGGGAGGAACACCAGUGGCGAAGGCGGCUCACUGGACCGGUUCUGACGCUGAUGCGCGAAAGCGUGGGGAGCAAACGGGG